UUCUCAGUGAUGGUUACCCGCAAAUGACUUUCAAUGGAGAGCCGGAUGGAGCCAACGAUUUCAAUCGCGUCAAGUUUCAGGAUAUGAGCGCGCUGGUGCCGUUUGAGAGCUUCACGACCCAUAAGCGCU